GGAUGUGAGGGCAAUCUGGGUGCAACAUCUGUCACCCUAUUGAUUGCCAGGGUUGACUUGGAAGGCAGGUGUCCCCUUCCUCCCUCGCUGCUCCAUGUGCAUCCCUCCCAAAGCUGCACACUCAAUCAAAGAGGAGGACCACCCCCGACAGAGAAGAACUGGUUCCUCACACAAGCAUAUGUGACUAGCUGCUCUCUCCUGCUAAACCUCCAAACAAGCUCUCAAGCAAACAUUGUUUUAUUUCACUUAGCCAGGUGACUUGCUCUGAAAACAUGCCAAAAUAAACGUUU
ensembl:misc_RNA 7SK 7SK RNA